AAUGAGUUUAGAAGUACAGAUUGCUGUCAUUUUUCCUCACUGACUGUUUUCUUUUACUACAUUCGCAGUGGAAUUGGUAGACAAUCCUCAAAGGAUCCGUCUUCUUGGUUUUCCUUCUAGUUACCAAAUACAUUGGGAAGAAGAAGAAGAGCCUUUUCUGGGUGCCCGCGAUCGCCCCUUUGAUCUCUGUUAUUCUCUUGACCUUUUUCGUGUAUAUUACACAUGCAGAAAAGCAUGGUGUUAAAAUUGGAAGUUUCCGAACUUUGUAGGGUUAACAUCUCUAUUUUAUCUAAUAUUAGUCAACUAAUAGUGCUGCAAAUGUCUGAAAGGUGAAAGACAUACAAAGGGGUAUAAAUCUGUCAUCCUUGGACCAA